rnacentral:rRNA from 1 species
GACGAACGCUGGCGGCGUGCCUAAUACAUGCAAGUCGAACGCAGUGGGGACGGGUGAGUAACACGUGGGUAACCUCCCAUCAGAGGGGAUAACACUUGGAAACAGGUGCUAAACCGAUACCGUUGGAUGGACCCGCGGUGCUUUAGCUAGUUGGUGAGGUAACGGCUCACCAAGGCCACGAUGCAGAGCCGGCCUUAGAGUGAUAUGCGCCAAACUGGGACUGAGAAACGGCCCAGAGUCCUACGGGAGGCAGCAGUAGGGAAUCUUCGGCAAUGGACGAAAGUCUGACCGAGAAACGCCGCGUGAGUGAAGAAGGUUUUCGGAUCGUAAAACUCUGUUGUUAGAGAAGCGGUAUCUAACCAGAAAGCCACGGCUAACUACGUGCCAGCAGCCGCGGUAAUAC